UACGGGAGGCAGCAGUGGGGAAUAUUGCACAAUGGGCGGAAGCCUGAUGCAGCGACGCCGCGUGAGGGAUGACGGCCUUCGGGUUGUAAACCUCUUUCGACUCCGACGAAGCGAAAGUGACGGUAGGAGUAUAAGAAGCACCGGCCAAAUACGUGCCACCAGCCGCGGUAAUACGUAGGGUGCGAGCGUUGUCCGGAAUUACUGGGCGUAAAGAGCUUGUAGGCGGCUUGUCGCGUCGAUCGUGAAAACUCGGGGCUCAACCCCGAGCUUGCGGUCGAUACGGGCAGGCUUGAGUACUUCAGGGGAGACUGGAAUUCCUGGUGUAGCGGUGAAAUGCGCAGAUAUCAGGGAGGAACACCGGUGGCGAAGGCGGGUCUCUGGGAAGUAACUGACGCUGAGAAGCGAAAGCGUGGGUAGCGAACAGGAUUAGAUACCCUGGUAGUCCACGCCGUAAACGGUGGGUACUAGGUGUGGGUUUCCUUCCACGGGAUCCGUGCCGUAGCUAACGCAUUAAGUACCCCGCCUGGGGAGUACGGCCGCAAGGCUAAAACUCAAAGGAAUUGACGGGGGCCCGCACAAGCGGCGGAGCAUGUGGAUUAAUUCGAUGCAACGCGAAGAACCUUACCUGGGUUUGACAUACUCCGGAAACCUGCAGAGAUGUAGGCCCCCUUGUGGUCGGUGUACAGGUGGUGCAUGGCUGUCGUCAGCUCGUGUCGUGAGAUGUUGGGUUAAGUCCCGCAACGAGCGCAACCCUUAUCUUAUGUUGCCAGCGCGUAAUGGCGGGGACUCGUGAGAGACUGCCGGGGUCAACUUGGAGGAAGGUGGGGACGACGUCAAGUCAUCAUGCCCCUUAUGUCCAGGGCUUCACACAUGCUACAAUGGCCGGUACAGAGGGCUGCGAUACCGUGAGGUGGAGCGAAUCCCUUAAAGCCGGUCUCAGUUCGGAUCGGGGUCUGCAACUCGACCCCGUGAAGUUGGAGUCGCUAGUAAUCGCAGAUCAGCAACGCUGCGGUGAAUACGUUCCCGGGCCUUGUACACACCGCCCGUCACGUCAUGAAAGUCGGUAACACCCGAACCGGUGGCCUACC
rnacentral:rRNA from 1 species